CACUAUCAACAAUAAUGAGCUUAUAAAGUAUCUUCUCUAGGCUAAGCUAGAGGAUCACAUACAUCAAGGAUCUCUUCCUUGGAUUACAAACAAAGAGUUUAUAUGAAAAAGAGUUUAGGCUCCAAUAAUAAAAUGAGAAUAAUCUCACCGAGUGUAGGUUUGCACAAGGUUCUUUUUCCUCUUGAGAUGCCUUGAAUAAGAUCUUCACCUCCUCCUUGAGAUGGAUUCCACAAGCACUUCACCAAGACGGCUACCCUCUUUUUCUUCUCAUCCAUCCUCUAAUAGAAUAAUAAACCCUAANNNNNNNNNNNNNNNNNNNNNNNNNNUUUUUCUUCUCUUUUUUCUUUAUUUAAAUUGCUGGGUCCCACCUCACAUAAGUUGGGACUCGGCCAACAAUUCUUCUCCUCCCACCUUAUGUGAGAGGCUCCACCAAGCUUACCUUAAGCAUACAAAUAUUAUGCUUCUUCUUAGGCAAAAUUUUAGUCAUCAUAUCCAAUCCAAUCUCAUUGGUAUGGAUUUUCUCUAGAUGCAAAAGCUUUUCUUCCAAUACAUCCCGAAUCCAAUGAUACCUCACAUCAAUAUGCUUCGACCUUGAAUGAAAGCUAGGAUUUUUGCUAAGAUGAAUGGCACUCUGAUUAUCAUAAUAGAGAGUAUACUUUUCUUGUUUCAAGCCCAAUUCUUGGAGGAAUUUUUUCGUCCACAACAUUUUCUUACAUGCCUCUGUCACUGCAAUAUAUUCGGCCUCUGUAGUGGACAAAGCAACACAUUUCUGCAAUUUGGACUACCAUGAAAUAACUACCCUUGCAAAAAUCAUCAUGUAUCCCGAUGUAAACUUUCGAGUAUCAAUAUCACCAGCCAUAUCUGCAUUUAUGAAUCCUUCUAGCAUAGUUUUUCCAUUUUCAAAGCAUAAGCAAGCUUUGGAAGUACCUCUAAGGUAUCUAAGUAUCCAUUUGACUGCAGCCCAAUGUUCUUUACCAGAAUUCGAGAGAAAUCUCCACACAACACCAACUGCAUAGGCUAUGUCUAGUCUUGUACACACCAUGGCAUACAUCAAACUUCCUACUGCUGAAGCAUAGGGAACAUUUUACAUCUCCUCUUUCUCCCUUUCAUUUGUAGGACAUUGCUUGUUUGUGAGUUUGAAAUGAUUUACAAGUGGAGAGAAAAUCGGUUUAGCCUUUUCCAUAUUAAACCGCUCAAGCAUCCUUUCAAUAUACCUUUCUUGUGAUAGCCAAAGCUUCUUGAUCUUUCUAUCGCGAGAAAUUCUCAUGCCAAGCAUUUGCUUUACGGGUUUCAUAUCUUUCAUGGUAAAAAACUUGCUUAAGUCUUUCUUCAACCUAUCAAUUUUGUUAGUAUCACGACCAAUAAUCAACAUAUCAUUUACAUAAAGCAAUAGAAUGAUAAAAUCACCAUCACUAAACCUUUGCACAUAGACGCAAUGAUCGGAUUUUGUCCUUUUGUAGCUGUGGCCCAUCAUGAAAGAAUCGAACUUUUUAUACCAUUGCCUUGGUGCUUGUUUAAGCCCAUAUAAGCUUUUCUUCAACUUGCAAACAAGAUGUUCUUUGCCCUUAGUUUUAAACCCCUCAGAUUGCUCCAUAUAAAUUUCUUCCUCUAGGUCUCCAUGCAAGAAAGUUGUCUUCACAUCAAGUUGUUCAAUCUCAAGGUCCAUACUAGCUGCCAAACCCAAUAUAAUCCGAAGAGAUGACAUUUUCACAACCGGAGCAAAAAUUUCAUCAAAAUCUAUACCUGUCUUCUGACCAAAGCCCUUGACAACUAAUCUUGCUUGGCACUUAGGUUUUAGGCCGCUCUCAUCCUUCUUUAAUCUGUAUACCCGUUUGUUCUUGAGUAGUCUCUUACCCUUAGAAAGCUUUACCAAAUCAAAAGUAUGAUUUUCAUAUAAGAAUUUCAUUUCCUCUUGCAUAGCUUGAAACCAUUUAUCCUUGUCCUUAUGAUUCUGCACUUCUUGGAUGCAUUCUGGCUCCCCCUCAUCUGUAAGAAAAACAUAAUCUGAAGCAGGAUAUCUAGAUGAUGCUCUGUGCUGUCUAGUAGACCUUCUGACCUCUGGUUCUGUCAUUUCAGACUGACUUGAUAGCUCACCAUGUUCUGAAGCUUCACUGUGACCAUUAUCACCUGUAGAACCCUCACUAGCAUCUGUAUCACUAUGCUCACUGUCAUCCUGUACAUCUCCCCUAUCAUCAUCAUGUACCAUAGGUGGAGGAACUGGAUCAAGAUUAAUUGGAGAACUGUUCAAAUACUUCGGCUUCUCUUGGAAUCACUGUGACCAUUAUCACCUGUAGAACCCUCACUAGCAUCUGUAUCACUAUGCUCACUGUCAUCCUGUACAUCUCCCCUAUCAUCAUCAUGUACCAUAGGUGGAGGAACUGGAUCAAGAUUAAUUGGAGAACUAUUCAAAUACUUCGGCUUCUCUUGCUUUCCAAAGUUUUCAAUAAACUGAUCUUCAAAGAAGACAACAUCUCUACUCCUGAUCACCUUGUUGUCUUUUGGAUCCCACAACCUGUAUCCAAAUUCUUCAUGGCCAUAACCUAAGAAAAUACAUUCUUUAGACUUUCCAUCAAGCUUAGACCUUUCAUCUUUUGGAAUGUGAACAAAUGUCUUGUAUCCAAAUACCUUCAAAUGACUGUAGGAUACAUCUUUUCCUGUCCAAACUCUUUCUGGCACAUCACCAUCCAAAGAAGUCGAUGGAGAAAGGUUGAUCAAAUCCACUGCAGUCCUCAUAACUUCACCCCAAAAUGGUAUUGGCAAUUUUGCAUGAGAGAGCAUACAUCUGAUUCUCUCUACAAUUAUUCUAUUUAUUCUCUCUGCAACUCCAUUUUCUUGCGGUGUUUUAGGAACCGUCUUUUGGAGCUUAAUGUCAUAGUCUUUGCAAUAUUUUUCAAAUGGCCCUCUGUACUCACCUCCAUUGUCUGUCCUGAUGCACUUUAGUUUCUUGCCUGUCUCUCUUUCAACCAUGACAUAAAAAUGUUUAAAUAUAUCCAAAACUUGAUCCUUGGAUUUCAAAGCAAAAAUCCAUACCUUUCUAGAAUGAUCAUCAAUAAAGGUAACAAAAUAAAGUGCACCACCAAGAGUUCUACUAUCCAUCAUGCAUACAUCACUAUAUAUCAAAUCUAGAAUGUUAAUUUUUCUAGAUAUAGGUGUUCUAUGAAAUGCAAUUCUAUGUUGUUUUUCGGUUAAACAAUCAACACAAGUUUUCAAAGACACACCUUUGGUAUUUGGUAGCAACUCCUUCUUGGCUAGAAUUUGAAGUCCUUUCUCACUAAUGUGCCCAAGCCUUUUGUGCCAAAGCUUUGUAGAGAAAUCAUCAUCAAUUGUAUUCACCUCUUCUUUCUUUAGCUUUGCUUGCAUCAUGUAGAGAGUAUUAUUUUUCUUUCCUCUUGCUAUCAACAAAGAGCCUUUCGUGAGCUUCCAUUUUCCUUCACUAAAAUGAUUGCUAUAACCUUCAUCAUCAAGCUUGCUGAUGGAGAAUAAAUUGAGGCGGAUAUCCGGAACAUGUCUAACAUCUUUGAGUAGCAACUUACACCCUGUAUUGGUCUCUAAACAUACACUCUCCAUGCCAACAAUUUUGGAUAAACCAUCAUUUUCCAUCCUAGCACAACCAAAAUCACCGGAAGUAUAGGAUGUGAAAAAACCACCAUGUGGAGUGAUAAGAAAAGAAGCACCGAAAUCAAUCACCCAGUUACUAUCUUCAUAUGCACGGUUGACACAACCAUCACUAACAACAAUGACAUCUGCAUCAGCUGCAACUGCUGUAACAUCCUUUUUCUCUGUCUUUGCUUCGCUUUUUUCUGUGUUCUGCUAUCUUUUCAAUGCUCUGCACUCUCUUUGAAUGUGUCCUAGUUUGCCACAAUGAUAGCAUUUUAUGCCUUUCCUUGACUUUGACCUACUCCUGGAUUUAUCUCUAUUGUAAGGAUACUUGCUUUUGCUUCUACCUCUUCUUUCCGUCACAAGAGCCUCAGCUUCAGGAGAUAUUCCCUGUUCCUUUCUUCUAACCUCUUUAUUUAGCAUGCUAUCUUUUACCAUAUCCAAAGUGACCUUGCCGUCAUGUGCAGAAUUACUUAGAGACACCACAAGAGUCUCCCAACUAUCUGGCAAAGAACUAAAAAGUAACAAAGCCUGCAACUCCUCAUCUAGGACAAGCUUCAUAGUAGUCAACUGAUUCACCAAGCUUUGGAAGUCAUUCAAGUGUUCUGUCACACUUCUCCCAUCUUUAUACUUCAAGUUGACAAGCCUCCUAAUCAAAGAGGCUUUAUUCUAUGCAGUCUUUCUCUCAUACAUGGCCUCUAAUUUCUUCCACAAAGAGAAGGCAUUGGUUUAUUGAGCAACAUGAUGAAACACGGUUUGAUCAACCCAUUGUCUAAUUUGUGCAAUUGUCUUUCUAUUCAUUAUCUUCCAUUUCUUGUCGGUCUUUUCUUUUGGCCUAGCCUCAUCUCCAUGAAUAGGUUCAUACAAAUCCUUACAAUAAAGGAUAUCCUCCAUCCUAGGUUUCCAAAUGGCAUAGUUGGAAGAUGUCAAUUUGAUCAUGCCUUCCAUAGAAUCCUCCAUUCGAGUCACACAAGAAUUUUAUCAAACACCUUGUAGGCACAAAACCUUGCUCUGAUACCACGUGUUAGGAAAGACCCCUUCACUAGAUGAAAACUUUCCUAUCUUUGUGUGAGUAAAAUAAGAAUACCACAAUAAUUAAUUGAUGUAAGAACUACCAAAAAAUCAAACCACAAGAAAGCGACAAGAAUUUUUAGGUGGAAAACCCUUCAAUAUGAGGGGAAAAAAAUCACCGGACCUAAGUCCACCACAAACCUCCACUAUCUACAAUAAUGGGCUUACAAAGUAUCUUCUCUAGGCUAAGCUAGAGGAUCACAUACAUCAAGGAUCUCUUCCUUGGAUCACAAACAAAGAGUUUAUAUGAAAAAGAGUUUAGGCUCCAAUAAUAAAAUGAGAACAAUCUCACCGAGUGGAGGUUUGUACAAGGUUCUUCUUCCUCUUGAGAUGCCUUGAAUAAGAUCUUCACCUCCUC
rnacentral:lncRNA from 1 species